rnacentral:tRNA from 1 species
GCGAUGUAGCUCAGCAGGUAGAGCACCCGGCUCAUAUCCGGUAGGUCGUAGGUUCAAGCCCCACCGUCGC